rnacentral:tRNA from 1 species
GCCGGUGUGGUGGAAUUGGCAGACGCGCCGGACUCAAAAUCCGGUCCCGAUUUUAUCGGGAUGUGGGUUCGACUCCCACCACCGGCACCA